UGUCUAGUCUCUCCACGGCCCG
rnacentral:miRNA from 1 species